rnacentral:rRNA from 1 species
GAGUUUGAUCGUGGCUCAGGAUGAACGCUAGCUACAGGCUUAACACAUGCAAGUCGAGGGGCAGCAUGGUCUUAGCUUGCUAAGGCCGAUGGCGACCGGCGCACGGGUGAGUAACACGUAUCCAACCUGCCGUCUACUCUUGGACAGCCUUCUGAAAGGAAGAUUAAUACAAGAUGGCAUCAUGAGUCCGCAUGUUCACAUGAUUAAAGGUAUUCCGGUAGACGAUGGGGAUGCGUUCCAUUAGAUAGUAGGCGGGUAACGCCCACUAGUCUUCGAUGGAUAGGGGUUCUGAGAGGAACGGUCCCCCAAUUGGAACUGAGACUUUACGGCCAAACUCCGUACGGGAGCAGCAGUGAGGAAU